UACGUAGGAGGCGAGCGUUGUCCGGAUUUACUGGGCGUAAAGGGCGCGCAGGCGGCCCACCAAGUACGAUGUGAAAUCUCCCUGCUCAACGGGGAGGGUGCAUAGUAAACUGGUGAGCUAGAGGACGGUAGAGGGGGGUGGAAUUGCUGGUGUAGCGGUGAAAUGCGUAGAGAUCAGCAGGAACACCCGUGGCGAAGGCGGCCCCCUGGGCCGUACCUGACGCUGAGACGCGAAAGCGUGGGGAGCGAACAGG
rnacentral:rRNA from 1 species